rnacentral:tRNA from 1 species
GACUGAGUAAUUAAAAUUAUAAUGUUGGUCUUGUAAGCCAAAAUUAGGGAAUCCUCUUAGUCU